GACGAACGCUGGCGGCGGGCUUAACACAUGCAAGUCGAACGGAAAGGCCCUGCUUUUGUGGGGUGCUCGAGUGGCGAACGUGUGAGUAACACGUGAGUAACCUUCCCUUGACUUUGGGAUAACUUCAGGAAACUGGGGCUAAUACCUGAUAGGAGCUCCUGCUGCAUGGUGGGGGUUGGAAAUUUUCGGCGGUUGGGGAUGGACUCGCGGCUUAUGAGCUUGUUGGGUGGGUAGUGGCUUACCAGGGCUUUGACGGGUAGCCGGCCUGAGAGGGUGACCGGCCACAUUGGGACUGAGAUACGGACCAGACUCCUACGGGAGGCAGCAGUGGGGAAUAUUGCACAAUGGGCGGAAGCCUGAUGCAGAAACGCCGCGAGCGGGAUGACGGCCUUCGGGUUGUAAACCGCAUUAGCCUGUGACGAAGCGUGAGUGACGGUAAUGGGUAAAGAAGCACCGGCUAACUACGUG
rnacentral:rRNA from 1 species